rnacentral:rRNA from 1 species
UACGUAGGUGGCAAGCGUUGUCCGGAAUUACUGGGUGUAAAGGACGUGUAGGCGGCACUGCAAGUCAGAUGUGAAAUUCCCAAGCUCAACCUGGGGGCUGCAUCUGAAACUGUGGUUCUUGAGUGCUGGAGAGGAAAGCGGAAUUCCUAGUGUAGCGGUGAAAUGCGUAGAUAUUAGGAGGAACACCAGUGGCGAAGGCGGCUUUCUGGACAGUAACUGACGCUGAGGCGCGAAAGCGUGGUGAGCAAACAGG